AAAUUUCUGAAUCUUGGGCAAAUGUUCUCUUGUAACUGCUUUACAGUUUCUAAAAGCAGUUAUUGUCCAAAGCUGGAAGAACUUAAGUCUUCUCAGAUGAUCAUGUGAAUGAAUGGAGGGAGGUAAACAAAAAAUAAAAUU